AGUCUCCUACGCAGAUGGCCAGAGCAUCUGGAUCCUCACCUGGCAUUGGUUCUAAUGCUUUCCUAGUGUGAGGGUGGAGAAAACUUACAACAGAGGUUAGUUCCUUCAUGUACUCAAGAUGGACACACUGUGUCUCAGUUUUGUCUAUCUGUCGGUCAGUCAUAGGUGGAACACCUGGUGUGUUCAUGGGUCAUCAUGUUAACAUUUCAUAAGGUGUACAUCCCAUACCUUUGUUAAGGCUGCUGCACAUUUUCCUGAGGACAAGGGGCAGCAUUCCACCCAGCUCAUUGUUGUGGAAUGACAGGCUUUUGCAAGCCCCCCUUUGAUCAUUUAAUUAGCCCUCUCUCUUAUCCCGUCACUCCACGGUUGAUAGAUGGACACAAACUUCUAGUCAACACCCAUCAUUUUGGCUACUUGGGCAACCACAUCUCCUAUGAGAUGGGUCCCAUUGUCUGCAGAUAAAACCUAAAACCUCAGUCACUCCGAACCUGGGUAUGAUUUCCCUGACUAGCCAUUUUUCAACUGUUUCGCGCAUCGCAGUUGGUGGUGGGAAAUGCUUCCACCCACCUGGUGAACCUGUCAAUUAUCACCAGGCAGUAUCUCUUUCUUUCUUUUCGCUCUACCAUGUCUAUGAAAUCCAUAACAAGGUCAAGGUUCCUUUUGGAGUGGAGAACUUCCCUGGUUACAGUGGAGUGGGGAACUUCCCUGGUUACAGUGGAGUGGGGAACUUCCCUGGUUACAGUGGAGUGGGGAACUUCCCUGGUUACAGUGGAGUGGGGAACUUCCCUGGUUACAGUGGAGUGGGGAACUUCCCUGGUUACAGUGGGAAAAUUCCCUGGUUACAGUGGAGUGGGGAACUUCCCUGGUUACAGUGGAGUGGGGAACUUCCCUGGUUACAGUGGAGUGGGGAACUUCCCUGGUUACAGUGGGGAACUUCCCUGGUUACAGUGGGGAACUUCCCUGGUUACAGUGGGGAACUUCCCUGGUUACAGUGGGGAACUUCC
ensembl:lncRNA